GUGAACGCUGGCGGUAGGCCUAACACAUGCAAGUCGAACGGCAGCACAGUAAGAGCUUGCUCUUACGGGUGGCGAGUGGCGGACGGGUGAGGAAUACAUCGGAAUCUACUUUUUCGUGGGGGAUAACGUAGGGAAACUUACGCUAAUACCGCAUACGACCUACGGGUGAAAGCAGGGGAUCUUCGGACCUUGCGCGAUUGAAUGAGCCGAUGUCGGAUUAGCUAGUUGGCGGGGUAAAGGCCCACCAAGGCGACGAUCCGUAGCCGGUCUGAGAGGAUGAUCAGCCACACUGGAACUGAGACACGGUCCAGACUCCUACGGGAGGCAGCAGUGGGGAAUAUUGGACAAUGGGCGCAAGCCUGAUCCAGCCAUACCGCGUGGGUGAAGAAGGCCUUCGGGUUGUAAAGCCCUUUUGUUGGGAAAGAAAAGCAGCAGGUUAAUACCCCGCUGUUCUGACGGUACCCAAAGAAUAAGCACCGGCUAACUUCGUG
rnacentral:rRNA from 1 species